UACGUAGGGUGCAAGCGUUGUCCGGAAUUAUUGGGCGUAAAGAGCUCGUAGGCGGUCUGUCGCGUCUGCUGUGAAAAUCAGGGCUCAACCCUGGACCUGCAGUGGGUACGGGCAGACUAGAGUGCGGUAGGGGAGAUCGGAAUUCCUGGUGUAGCGGUGAAAUGCGCAGAUAUCAGGAGGAACACCAAUUGCGAAGGCAGCUCGCUGGGACGUUACUGACGCUGAGACGCGAAAGCGUGGGGAGCAAACAGG
rnacentral:rRNA from 1 species